rnacentral:rRNA from 1 species
CGCAAUGGGCGAAAGUCUGACGGAGCGACGUCGCGUGGUUGAUGAAGUUCUUAGGGAUGUAAAAACCUUUUAUGAGGGAGAAAGUUAUUGAUAGUACCUCAUGAAUAAGGGGUUGCUAAACUCGUGCCAGCAGCAGCGGUAAUACGAGUGCCCCAAGCGUUAUCCGGAAUUAUUGGGCGUAAAGGGUGUGUAGGUGGUUUUGUUAGUCCUGUGUUAAAGCUCCCGGCUCAACUGGGAAAAUGCACAGGAUACGGCAAAACUAGAGGAUGCGAGAGGUGUGUAGAACUCAUAGUGUAGGGGUGAAAUCCGUUGAUAUUAUGGGGAAUACCAAAAGCGAAGGCAGCACACUGGCGCACUCCUGACACUGAAACACGAAAGCGU